UACAGAGGUCCCAAGCGUUGUUCGGAUUCACUGGGCGUAAAGGGUGCGCAGGCGGUCGGGUAAGUCUGACGUGAAAUCUUCAAGCUCAACUUGAAAACUGCGUCGGAUACUAUUCGGCUAGAGGAAUGGAGGGGAGACUGGAAUUCUCGGUGUAGCAGUGAAAUGCGUAGAUAUCGAGAGGAACACCAGUGGCGAAGGCGAGUCUCUGGACAUUUCCUGACGCUGAGGCACGAAAGCCAGGGGAGCAAACGGG
rnacentral:rRNA from 1 species